rnacentral:rRNA from 1 species
AACGAACGCUGGCGGCGCGUCUUACACAUGCAAGUCGAACGGCAGGAAGGGGCUUGCCCCUUCUGAGAGUGGCGGACUGGUGAGUAACACGUGGGUGACAUACCUUUUAGUUGGGGAUAGCUAUUAGAAAUAGUAGGUAAUACCGAAUGUGACCGUACCUGUUAGAGGGGUACGAGGAAAGGAGCUAAGGCUUCGCUAAAAGAAUGGCUCGCGGCCCAUUAUGCUCGUUGGUGAGGUAACGGCCCACCAAGGCGAUGAUGGGUAUCCGGCCUGAGAGGGUGAACGGACACAUUGGGGCUGAGAUACGGCCCAGACUUCUACGGGAGGCAGCAGUUAAGAAUAUUCCGCAAUGGACGAAAGUCUGACGGAGCGACGCCGCGUGGAUGAAGAAUGCCGAAAGGUUGUAAAAUCCUUUUAAGCCUGAUGAAUAAGCACAGUAGGGAAUGAUUGUGCGGUGACCGUAGGGCUUGAAUAAGCACCGGCUAAUUACGUG